AGGAUGAUGGGUCACGGUGUACCUGGUUCAAGCACGAACACGCCGCUGAUUCACGCUCUUGUUGAGACAAGGAGAGUGGCAGAGGCUCGUGGAGAUGGUGGAGGCCGGGUUGGUUCCUAGAGAGUAUACAUAUAAGUUGGUGUUGGAUGCUUUGACCUCAGAAGGAAUGAUGGUACAUAAGAGAAUGAGACAAGGAAUAGACCAGAGAUAUAGAAGCGCCAUGGAGAUCAAACCGGUCAUGUCCCGAAAAGAGGAUUUUCAUAAGAACCAUGAAAAAUGAUUUUUUCUUCUUUUCCUGCUCAAACCUUGUAUUGUGCUACUAUCUCUCCAGUCUUCUCAUCUGAACAAGGGCUCUCUCGUAAAAUCACUACGUGAAGCUGCUACUACACUGUCACAAAUCGAGCAGCCUUUAGUUACUGAAACUGUGAGCAAGAAACAAGCUCUGAAACUGCUUGAAGCUGAGCUGAAACCGCUGAAGAAAUCCAUUAUCAAGCAUGACCUUCUUAAGAAUCGUUGAUAACGACGUGAAUCUAUUAGUUACUGUUUGCGUCAGUGAGAGCUUUCGGAUUCUGGCACCUGAGCCACCUUUUGAAGACAAGUAUCUCAGGGAUAUCUUCAACCUCUUUCUUGCUGAGUUCUCUGAUACUGUAAGCCCCUACUUCUCGAGAAGGGCAAAGAUCUUGAAGACAGUUUCUCGAUAGCAAAUGUUGUAUGCUAAUGCUGGACGUGGACUGCCAUGACUUAACACGUUUUUCUCUGUUGUGAGGGAGCACUAUCAACAGAAUUUAGUUCAUCAGAAGAAUGCUAAAGUGCAGCAGCGAGAGGCUAACACGCAGCAAGCGCAACAAAGUUUAUUCAAUGACAUUCUAACCAUAAUGACUGAUACUCUGAAAGAAGAGGCGAGUUCGUCACUUGUCGGUGUUAUUCUUCAAAAUCUAGUGAAGGAGGGAAAGGUAUGGAUGUACAGAGAUUAAUUAUCUAUCGAUUAUGAUUUGCACAAUUCUGAAGAUCAAAUACUGGUAUUUAUUAUGCAUUUGCGCUUUAAUAAACGUGUGAUCUUACUUUUCUGUA